UAUUAUUUAAAUGUAAUUAUACUUUUUGUUGAGCAAUGCCAUUUCCUUUUCAGCUUAUAUAAAGCCGUGGCCUUCCACUUACAGAUCAAUGAGAUGCUUUGCGAUGAAUUUUAGUGUAGUGAUCAGUGAUAGAAACGUAAGAGCAAAUACCAAAGAGAAAAUGGUGGAGGCUCCCCCUUCUUCUAGCUCAUAGCCUUCAUCCUCUCUGUUUGACUCUCCUUCGUAAGAUCUUCCUCUUGAGCAGUCGCUUUCAUUAUCACCUAUCAUCCCUUCUUUCUCUUACCCUUGGUUGUAGGAGCAGUUUCCAUUUCCACCCACCUUUACCCAUGAUCCAUGUCGACAUGUCACACUGGAGAAGUUUCUCUCCCCAAGUGCUUCUGAAAUUUUGAAGGACCUAUCUAACUCAUCCUUUUAUUUUGGUUUUCUCUAGGGUUACUUGGGCCAGGGCCAUUUUAAUUUAUCUUAUAAAUUGAUGUCAAAAUAGAAUCAUAAAUCUGUGUAAUUAAACUGGCUAUUUUAGGUACUAUCAGUAUGUAUGCAGUUUGUUUAUGAGUUGUUUUCUUUGGUGAUCUAAUAGAUAAGAGAGCUUCCUUCAGUCCACUCAUGGGUAGCAGUGGGAUUUAAUUAGCUGCCGACUCAUUCAUCCAAAUACUGAGUUAGAAGGGAUCAGCGAAAGAUACCCAGUAAAUGAGUGAAUGAUGCGGGAGACAAAUUGAAUCCUCAACUUCCUGUGCUUGGACUGAAGGGAGCUCCCUCUUCUGUUAUUUUAUCUAUCUAAACCCUUCUAAUUUCGUUAGAUCUUUCGUCUAGUUUAUGUAACUUCAAUAAACAUCUAGAGUCCUUAGCUCAAGGUUUAUCAUGUGUGCUUUUUAUUGACACUGAAUACUUCCUUUUGUCACAUUAAUAGCAAUUCAAAGUACUUUUAAUCCUGAAGUGAUAUUGGGUUACUGAUUGUAUAAUUAAUGGUCAUAUAUCUGGUUUAUCCCAAUUUCUUAAUCACAGCCAUGGCAAGUGGGUUAUCAGUGAUGUUUAUCAAGGCAGUUUCCCCAAUGGGGCUGAGGUUAUAUGAGCAGAUCUCGGGAAGCUGGAGAGCAGGAGUUUUAGGGUUUAUUAUUAGAAGCUGAUGUUUAAGUUUCAAGUUUAGACUCUCAGGAAAGGCAACGCGUGGCCGGAUAAGUUUGUAAAGCUCACGCUCUACGACGAAACCUUCUUGGGUCUUGUUUUCUAACUGCAACAAGUUCCUAGACAUGUGUCCCCAGUUACAUGUCCAAUUACCAAUAUAUCCCUUUAUGUUGUUUUUAAAUGUUGUACCCUAGAUUUGCAAAUCUGUGGCACACUCGUCUUUGUUCUAAGCUGUCUUUGGCGGUUAUAAAUGUCUCCUCUGUAUUCCUUCCGACAUGUACUCCUUGGCAGAGUGGAAACGUAGUUUACAUUAGUACAUGUGGUGUUGCGGUGUAUUUGAUUAUGGUUUUGGUGGAUGCGAAGUGAAAUCACUGCUUUCUUUGUUCAUCCUUUCUGGUGGAACUCUUCACAUGGUUUUUUUCCAAUUCUCUUCAGGGAUAAUCAUCGUGUUCUAUGUACCUAAUGAAAGGAGUUAAAUGAAUAAUAUAUACAAAUCAAGUUAAUAAAAAUUAAAA